rnacentral:rRNA from 1 species
AGCAGCCGCGGUAAUUCCAGCUCCAAUAGCGUAUAUUAAAGUUGUUGCAGUUAAAAAGCUCGUAGUUGAAUUUCGGGGUUAGUAGGUUGGUCAUGCCUCUGGUAUGUACUGGUCUCACUGAUUCCUCCUUCCUGAUGAACCUUAAUGCCAUUAAUUUGGUGUUUUGGGGAAUUUGGACUGUUACUUUGAAAAAAUUAGAGUGUUUAAAGCAAGCUAACGCUUGAAUACAUUAGCAUGGAAUAAUGAAAUAGGACGUUCGAUCCUAUUUUGUUGGUUUCUAGGAUUGACGUAAUGAUUAAUAGGGAUAGUUGGGGGCAUUAGUAUUCAAUUGUCAGAGGUGAAAUUCUUGGAUUUAUUGAAGACUAACUACUGCGAAAGCAUUUGCCAAGGAUGUUUUCAUUAAUCAAGAACGAAAGUUAGGGGAUCGAAGACGAUCAGAUACCGUCGUAGUCUUAACCAUAAACUAUGCCGACUAGGGAUCGGAUGAUGUUAAUUUUUAAUGACUCAUUCGGCUCCGUUA